GACGUAGGGCGCGAGCGUUGUCCGGAUUUAUUGGGCGUAAAGAGCUCGUAGGCGGCUUGUCGCGUCGGCUGUGAAACCCGCGGCUCAACUGUGGCGGCAGCUGAUACGGGCAGGCUGGAGUUCGGUAGGGAGACUGGAAUUCCUGGUGUAGCGGUGAAAUGCGCAGAUAUCAGGAGGAACACCGGUGGCGAAGGCGGGUCUCUGGGCCGAUGACUGA
rnacentral:rRNA from 1 species